rnacentral:rRNA from 1 species
UCGGGAAUUUUGGGCAAUGGGCGAAAGCCUGACCCAGCAACGCCGCGUGAAGGAUGAAGUAUUUCGGUAUGUAAACUUCGAAAGAAUAGGAAGAAUAGAUGACGGUACUAUUUAUAAGGUCCGGCUAACUACGUGCCAGCAGCCGCGGUAAUACGUAGGGACCAAGCGUUGUUCGGAUUUACUGGGCGUAAAGGGCGCGUAGGCGGCAAUUCAAGUCAUCUGUGAAAUCUCCGGGCUUAACUCGGAACGGUCAGAUGAUACUGCUUUGCUAGAGUGCAGAAGGGGCAAUCGGAAUUCUUGGUGUAGCGGUGAAAUGCGUAGAUAUCAAGAGGAACACCUGAGGUGAAGACGGGUUGCUGGGCUGACACUGACGCUGAGGCGCGAAAGCCAGGGGAGCAAACGGGAUUAGAUACCCUAGUAGUCCCUGAGCGGGCUGGCAAGGCGCAU